AUCAGUAGAGCUUUUAUUUAUUGUCACAGCGCCGGGCCUGAUGGAAUCCUCUGUGACACUCAGAUUACGUGUGGUCUAAACCGCUUGAUGUCCCUGUAAACCACCGCUUUUC